GUAUAGUCCUUAAACUUAUUCACGAUCAAACGAUACGAUAUUACUAGGACGAUAGCGAUUAUCAAGUAUAGGUCAUUGUGUGCCAUAUGCAUUGGUUGUCCUCAUAAUCAAGUGGUGUGGAGACACUGAUAUGGCAUACAAAUAAGAUGUAGGAGUAUAUCUCAUUGAAUGUGAUCAAUUACGGAGUACUCUACUGUCAAGAGUAGCUCGUGAAGGGUAUGGGUAUAAGUAUCCCUUUGACCUA
rnacentral:lncRNA from 1 species